rfam:Salmo salar isolate Sally breed double haploid chromosome ssa07, whole genome shotgun sequence.
UGCAUGCAUGACUUUAAGUCACUUUGGAUAAAAGUGUAUGUUAAAUGGCAUAUA